AUUGAACGCUGGCGGCAUGCCUUACACAUGCAAGUCGAACGGCAGCACGGGUGCUUGCACCUGGUGGCGAGUGGCGAACGGGUGAGUAAUACAUCGGAACGUACCUUAUCGUGGGGGAUAACGCAGCGAAAGCUGUGCUAAUACCGCAUACGCCCUGAGGGGGAAAGCGGGGGAUCGAAAGACCUCGCGCGAUUAGAGCGGCCGAUGCCUGAUUAGCUUGUUGGUGGGGUAAAGCCCACCAAGGCGACGAUCAGUAGCUGGUCUGAGAGGACGAUCAGCCACACUGGGACUGAGACACGGCCCAGACUCCUACGGGAGGCAGCAGUGGGGAAUUUUGGGACAAUGGGGGAAACCCUGAUCCAGCAAUGCCGCGUGAGUGAAGAAGGCCUUCGGGUUGCAAAGCUCUUUGUCAGGAG
rnacentral:rRNA from 1 species